AUUGAACGCUGGCGGCGUGCCUAAUACAUGCAAGUCGAACGCAGUGGGGACGGGUGAGUAACAUGUGGGUAACCUCCCAUCAGAGGGGAAAACACUUGGAAACAGGUGCUAAACCGAUACUGAUGGAUGGACGCGCGGUUCAUUAGCAAGUUGGUGAGGUAACGGCUAACCAAGGCCACGAUGCAUAGCCGCGCUGACAGGGUGAUCAGCCACCCUGGGACUGAGACACGGCCCAGACUCCUACGGGAGGCAGCAGUAGGGAAUCUUCGGCAAUGGGCGAAAGCCUGACCGAGCAACGCCGCGUGUGUGAAGAAGGUUUUCGGAUCGUAAAACUCUGUUGUUAGGGAAUCGGUAUCUAACCAGAAAGCCACGGCUAACUACGUGCCAGCAGCCGCGGUAAUAC
rnacentral:rRNA from 1 species